rnacentral:rRNA from 1 species
UACGUAGGGGGCAAGCGUUGUCCGGAUUUAUUGGGCGUAAAGCGCGUGUAGGCGGGAUGGCAAGUCGGGUGUGAAAGCCCUCAGCUCAACUGAGGAAGUGCGCCCGAAACUACCGUUCUUGAGUGUCGGAGAGGGUGGCGGAAUUCCCGGUGUAGAGGUGAAAUUCGUAGAUAUCGGGAGGAACACCAGUGGCGAAGGCGGCCACCUGGACGAACACU